rnacentral:rRNA from 1 species
ACUCAAAUGAAUAGACGGGGGCCCGCACAAGCGGUGGAGCAUGUGGUUUAAUUCGACGCAACGCGAAGAACCUUACCGGGGCUUGACAUCUGGGGAAAUCCUACGAAAGUAGGCUUCCGGGAAACCGGACUCCAAGACAGGUGCUGCAUGGCUGUCGUCAGCUCGUGCCGUGAGGUGUUGGGUUAAGUCCCGCAACGAGCGCAACCCUUGUCGUGUGUUGGUCAGCAAUGAUCUCUCACACGAGACCGCCGGUGAUAAGCCGGAGGAAGGUGGGGAUGACGUCAAGUCAGCAUGGCCCUUACGUCCCGGGCUACACACGUGCUACAAUGGGCGCGACAACGAGCCGCAAACUCGCGAGAGUAAGCCAAUCUCUUAAACGCGUCCUCAGUUCGGAUUGAAGGCUGCAACUCGCCUUCAUGAAGUCGGAAUCGCUAGUAACCGCAGAUCAGCUACGCUGCGGUGAAUACGUUCCCGGGCCUUGCACACACCGCCCGU